CAAGGCCAUCAUUGGACACCUCCUCCAGGAAGCCCUGCUGGAAUGACCCAGAUUCAGCCACUUGACUCCCAGGUCUUCUUAAGUGAGGAGACGUCUCCAGCCUUGCUUCAAUACAUGCUUUCCAACUUCUGCACCUGUUCCACGGUUCCGUCCGCCUGAAGGCUCUCUCACUCUCCUCCAGAAAGACUUCCAUCUCCCUGCAGGGAAACUGGACACAUGGAGACAUUGAGCCACUGCCCAAAGUUACACAGGAAAGCCAGCUAUGUCAAUGUGGACACUCGAGCAGUCCUCUGGAGUGAGCCACAUGGUGAAAAAUGGAGUCCUCCUGCCACCAGCCAAAAGGGACUUGCCAACCUUGUGACUGAGCCGGCCCAGACACUCCAGCCCCAGUUAAACCUUUGGAAGACUGUGGCCUCACCAACAUCUUGACUGCAACUUCGUGAGAGACCCAGAGCUAGACCCAUGCAACUAAGCUGCUCCCCAAUUCCUGGCCCACAGACACUGGGAGAGAUAAUACAUGUUUAUUUCUGUUUGAAGCUGCUAAGUUUUGGGUAAUUUGUUUUGCAGCAAUAGGUAAUUGAUAGCAUUAGGAAACAUUAGCUAAUGCUAACAAUGUUUUGCAGAUGAGGGAAUUGAGGCAUAAAAGUAACUUGCCCCAGGUCACACAGGUAACAAGUCGUUUAAACCAUGGCAGUUUGGAUCUAUGUAAAGUUCAGUAAUAAAUUAGAAUCUCUCUUUUACAGGAAUCAGGACACUUUGCCUGCUCAGAGGGAGAGAGGGAAAGAGACAGAGACACAAACACAGAGAGACAGUGACAUGGAGAAGUGCGCCGUGGGCUCACAGUACCAUGUGAAGGACUGGGGCUGCCCUUCUGUAAAGUGAAGGCAGUGGAGAAGUGAAGUGAAGUGUAAGUGAAGAGGAAAGUGAAGGAUGGUAGAGAGCACCCUUGCCCUUGCAGCCUGGCUGUGUUUGGCUUGGGGCUGCUGGUCUCCGACCCUGGCUGGGCUGGUGACACAGCCUAAGGUACCUGGGGGUGGAAUCUGGCACCCCUGAGCAGACCCCUCCCUGGCUCUUGUCCCCCUGUGCUGACACUCUCUGUCCCAGGCUCUCUCUGCCUCCAGACCAGAGCUCCUCCAGGGAAAAGGUGGAGUCUUGUUCGUCUGUGUCCCUCACCUAGCAUAAGGCCUGCCAGAGCAGGCUGGGCGAGGUGAACACAGAAGGUCCUCUGGCCCUGGUACUGGAGAGGCAUCAUCACUGGGGACAGAGUGAGAACCAGGAUGAUGCUGUUUGUUACUGGAGGAGCUCCCAUUGGAUGGAGGAGCCAACAACGACAGGCCAGUGUGAUCAGGGAGAUUGGGACACACAGUGCCGUGGGGGCCCAGAGGAGCAGGGAGGAUCUCUGUGGAGGAGGCGAGAAGUCUUCCCAGAGGAGGAGGCAUUUGAGGUGAGGCCCAAACGGUAAACAGAAGCCAACCCAUGCGGGAGUGUUCUAGGCAGAGGGCAUGGCCUAGCAGAGGUCACAGCCUGGCAAAGUUCUGAAGCUCCAGUUCCUGGGGGGCAGUGUGAAAGAGUAGGCUGCUGGGGCUCCCAUGGCUCUGGAGACCAACAUGGGACUUGGGAGUGGCAGGGUGCCAUAUUGACAGCAGGUGAAAUAUCACCUACAUCUGUCUCAUGGGGAAUUCAUUACAUUUUGGGUUGGGUUUGGGAGUUUUCUUUGGAAACUCAGGGUAGGCAGGGUCUGUAAGCUUGAGUCAGCCCAGGAUGGAGAGGCAGGGUAGGGGAGAACCAAAGUCACCUGGGUGGCCGAAGCUUUACCAGGACCUCAGUGUCCAUUUGGUGUCUUGUGUGUUUCAAGGACUGAGCUUUCUCCCUUUGCCCCUCACAGAAAUUAACCAGUUUAUGUGCCCUGAAAAAUUCCCACUUCCACCCUCUGGGUUCGCAUGCUGGCUCAGUCACUUACUAGCUGUGUGACCUCUCUGCUGCUUAGCUUACUCAUCUGUAAAAUGGGAUAAACACAAAACCUGCCUGAUGGAGAUGUCGUAAGGAUCAAAGAGGAAAAAGAAUUUAAAACAUUUAGAAUGGUGCCUGACCCCCAGCAAGUAUACAAUAAAUAUUGGCUAUUGUUGUUAUUUUAUGUGGUUUUCUUUUAACUUUUUCAAGUAAAUAUAACUUACCUCAUGCUUGUUAUGUGUCAGGCCUUGUAUUUAUCCUCUGAAGACAAAGAUGAGGAAGACAUAGUCCUCCUAGGGGUACAAAUCCUUCAAUAAAGGCAGAAACAAGCAUUGGUCAAAUGUGCCCUGUGCCAAGAAUCCAGGAAUGCAGGAGAGCGGGCUCCUGUCCUCCAGCAGCUCACAGAGUGACGAGGGAGACAGUUGCAUAAGCAGACUGUGGCAACACAGGGUGGUCAGGGCUGCGGCAAAGGGAAGCCCAGGGACUGCAGGAGCCCGGGGAAGUGGCCCAAAGUGGGUGGAGGCUGAGAGGAGCCAGAAGGACCUCUGCUGAGGGGACUGUUGAGAGACAAGGAUUUGCCCACUUUGGCAACUGGCAUCCUUCUCCCUUGGGGAGGUCGGGGGAUGCCUGGGCUCAGUCUUGAUUCUGGGUAUUGGAAAGCCAUCAGGGUUUUGUGAACAGGGAAUUAUGUUUGAAUAAUAGUAACAAUAACUAACAUUUCUCAUGCAGCUACUAUAUACUGUAUGCUGUGCGUACACAAUCUCAUCUCAUAUCCUCACCACAAUGCUGUGAGAUAAGAAAGUGAGACUGGGAGAUAGGAUUGACUUUCCUAAGACCACAGAGUGGAGGAGGAGGAGGGACUGAGUUGGAUAGGUCAGUUUGGGCAGCAAGACGGGCUUCUAUCUUUAUCCCACAGUCCCAGGCACCAUUGUGCUUGACACAGAAUCCAAACUCCCAGCUGUGGCCUACAAAGCCCUGGUGAUCAGGGCCUUGCCAACUCCCUCCAGCCUCACCUGAGGCACCCACUCCUUCCCUGUCAUCAGGCCCCGGCCCACCUUGAU
rnacentral:lncRNA from 1 species